rnacentral:rRNA from 1 species
AUUGAACGCUGGCGGCAGGCCUAACACAUGCAAGUCGAGCGGCAGCGACUUAACUGAACCUUUCGGGGAACGUUAAGGGCGGCGAGCGGCGGACGGGUGAGUAAUGCCUGGGAAUAUGCCUGAUGUGGGGGAUAACUAUUGGAAACGAUAGCUAAUACCGCAUAAUCUCUUCGGAGCAAAGAGGGGGACCUUCGGGCCUCUCGCGUCAGGAUUAGCCCAGGUGGGAUUAGCUUGUUGGUGAGGUAAUGGCUCACCAAGGCAACGAUCCCUAGCUGGUCUGAGAGGAUGAUCAGCCACACUGGAACUGAGACACGGUCCAGACUCCUACGGGAGGCAGCAGUGGGGAAUAUUGCACAAUGGGGGAAACCCUGAUGCAGCCAUGCCGCGUGUGUGAAGAAGGCCUUCGGGUUGUAAAGCACUUUCAGUAGGGAGGAAGGUAGUGUAGUUAACACCUGCAUUAUUUGACGUUACCUACAGAAGAAGCACCGGCUAACUCCGUGCCAGCAGCCGCGGUAAUACGGAGGGUGCGAGCGUUAAUCGGAAUUACUGGGCGUAAAGCGCAUGCAGGCGGCCUGUUAAGUCAGAUGUGAAAGCCCGGGGCUUAACCUCGGAAUUGCAUUUGAAACUGGCAGGCUAGAGUCUUGUAGAGGGGGGUAGAAUUUCAGGUGUGGCGGUGAAAUGCGUAGAGAUCUGAAGGAAUACCAGUGGCGAAGGCGGCCCCCUGGACAAAGACUGACGCUCAGAUGCGAAAGCGUGGGGAGCAAACAGG